rnacentral:rRNA from 1 species
UACGUAGGGGGCAAGCGUUGUCCGGAAUUAUUGGGCGUAAAGCGCGCGCAGGCGGUCCUUUAAGUCUGAUGUGAAAGCCCACGGCUUAACCGUGGAGGGUCAUUGGAAACUGAGGGACUUGAGUACAGAAGAGGAGAGUGGAAUUCCACGUGUAGCGGUGAAAUGCGUAGAGAUGUGGAGGAACACCAGUGGCGAAGGCGACUCUCUGGUCUGUAACCGACGCUGAGGUGCGAAAGCGUGGGUAGCAAACAGGAUUAGAUACCCCGGUAGUCCCU